GUCCACGCCCUAAACGAUGCUCACUAGGUGUUGGGAAGCGAUUCCUUGGUACCGUAGCUAACGCGUGAAGUGAGCCGCCUGGGGAGUACGGCCGCAAGGUUAAACUCAAAGGAAUUGACGGGACCCGCACAAGCGGUGGAUGAUGUGGAUUAAUUCGAUGCAACGCGAACAACCUUACCUACCCUUGACAUGUCCGAGAGCCUGCUGAAAGGUGGGUGUGCCCGAAAGGGAAUCGUAACACAGGUGCUGCAUGGCUGUCGU
rnacentral:rRNA from 1 species